AUCUAAUUGAUGUGUCCCAAAUAGGACGAAACUUGUGUCCUGGAU
rnacentral:hammerhead_ribozyme from 1 species